GUGAGUUGUUUCGACUUUGUUAUCAUCACUUUUUAUAAAUUCUAUUUGUCUGUUAAAAUAAUUUAAAGGUCUUUCGGUUAUAGUGCAUCUGCCACAUUAUUCUCUUUUCCUGGUAAAUACUGGAUUUGAUAAUCAUACUCAUUUAAUCGGAUUUUCCAUCUUUGCAAUUUCAUAUUUGGUUCUUUAAUAUUACUGAGCCAAACUAAUGGUUUAUGAUCACUUAGGAUUUGGAAUUUUCUACCGAAUAGCUGAAUAGUUUGAUUCGUGUUCGUUUAAAGUUCGACUUGCAUGGCAAAUGGGUUUGUGUUCCAGUGACAGAACGGCGCCUAUAGCGAA